rnacentral:rRNA from 1 species
GGACUACUGGGGUAUCUAAUCCUGUUCGAUCCCCACGCUUUCGUGCCUCAGCGUCAGUUACAGCUUAGUAAGCUGCCUUCGCAAUCGGUGUUCUUGAUGGUAUCUAUGCAUUUCACCGCUACACCAUCAAUUCCGCCUACCUCAUCUGUACUCAAGCCCUACAGUAUCAAUGGCAAUGCUACAGUUAAGCUGCAGUAUUUCACCACUGACUUACAGGGCCGCCUACGCACCCUUUAAACCCAAUAAAUCCGGACAACGCUUGCACCCUCCGUAUUACCGCGGCUGCUGGCAC